rnacentral:rRNA from 1 species
AGAGUUUGAUCAUGGCUCAGGACGAACGCUGGCGGCGUGCUUAACACAUGCAAGUCGAACGGAAAGCGCUCUUUGGAGUGACUCGAGUGGCGAACGGGUGAGUAACACGUGGGUGAUCUGCCCUGCACUUUGGGAUAAGCCUGGGAAACUGGGUCUAAUACCGGAUAGGACUACGGCCUGCAUGGGUUGUGGUGGAAAGCUUUUGCGGUGUGGGAUGGGCCCGCGGCCUAUCAGCUUGUUGGUGGGGUGAUGGCCUACCAAGGCGACGACGGGUAGCCGGCCUGAGAGGGUGUCCGGCCACACUGGGACUGAGAUACGGCCCAGACUCCUACGGGAGGCAGCAGUGGGGAAUAUUGCACAAUGGGCGCAAGCCUGAUGCAGCGACGCCGCGUGAGGGAUGACGGCCUUCGGGUUGUAAACCUCUUUCAGCAUCGACGAAGCGUAAGUGACGGUAGAUGCAGAAGAAGCACCGGCCAACUACGUGCCAGCAGCCGCGGUAAUACGUAGGGUGCGAGCGUUGUCCGGAAUUACUGGGCGUAAAGAGCUCGUAGGUGGUUUGUCGCGUUGUUCGUGAAAACUCACAGCUUAACUGUGGGCGUGCGGGCGAUACGGGCAGACUGGAGUACUGCAGGGGAGACUGGAAUUCCUGGUGUAGCGGUGGAAUGCGCAGAUAUCAGGAGGAACACCGGUGGCGAAGGCGGGUCUCUGGGCAGUAACUGACGCUGAGGAGCGAAAGCGUGGGGAGCGAACAGGAUUAGAUACCCCCGUAGUCC